rnacentral:rRNA from 1 species
AAUGAACGCUGGCGGCAUGCCUAACACAUGCAAGUCGAACGAAACCAUCAGGACCAUUCGCCCCUGGGUUUGUAACGCGUCGGAACCUUCCCUUGUGUUUGGCAUAACUCCCAGACUGGGGUGCUAACACCGGACAAUGUCUACUACCGAAAGAUUUAUUGCCUUUGGAUGGUCACGAGUUGGAUUCGGUAGUUGUUAGGGUAAAAGCCUACCAAGGCGACGAUCCAUAGCUGGUUUGAGAGGAUGAUUACCCACACUGGGACUGAGACACGGCCCAGACUCCUACGGGAGGCAGCAGUGGGGAAUAUUGGACAAUGGGCGAAAGCCUGAUCCGGCAAUGCCGCGUGAGUGAUGAAGGCCUUAGGGUUGUAAAGCUCUUUUACCCGGGAUGAUAAUGACAGUACCGGGAGAAUAAGCUCCGGCUAACUCCGUG